GUCCUUGAGUACAUUUUCCAUGGACGUCCAAGAUAUGCCUUAAUUGCUGGAUUGGUAGCAAGGAACUCUGGCUCAGCUGAGAUAUCACAAUUCUGGAUAACAAAUCCACCAGUUGAUUUUACAUCAACAUUUCCCUGAGCAGUCAUCAUGCAAUUUUGGGUGUCACCUGGUUUCCUUACAAUCAACUUACAAUUUUGGAAAACAGCAGCAGCAGCACCAAAAACAAAGUCGAUGGUUCCUGUAAUGUUACAGUCACGGUAAAACUGUCUGUUUGAGUGAGCAUAUAAGGUGUCUUGGUACCCAUCUAUUUUGCAGUUGUAGACCG
rnacentral:lncRNA from 1 species